rnacentral:tRNA from 1 species
GAGGGUAUAGCUCAGUGGUAGAGUGUGUGCUUAGCAUGCACGAGGUCCUGGGUUCAAUCCUCAGUACCUCUA